UACAGAGGUCUCGAGCGUUGUUCGGAUUCAUUGGGCGUAAAGGGUGCGUAGGUGGCGCUGUAAGUCAGGUGUGAAAUUUCGGAGCUUAACUCCGAAACUGCAUUUGAUACUGCGGUGCUUGAGGACUGGAGAGGGGACUGGAAUUUACGGUGUAGCGGUGAAAUGCGUAGAUAUCGUAAGGAAGACCAGUGGCGAAGGCGGGUCCCUGGACAGUUCCUGACGCUGAGGCACGAAGGUCAGGGGAGCAAACGGG
rnacentral:rRNA from 1 species